CCACCUAGCUGCCCAGUCUAUGGCACUAUGGCACCACCUAGCUGCCCCUCAAUCUGGGAUUCUUUCAACUUCUCUAUGUUCCAGGUUAACUGGACCUGCCAAGUAGAUCCACCCUGCUCCCACUUCUCCUGAACCUUCUGCCCUGCUCAUAGGACAAACCCCAAGGAAUUUGUUCUGUGAAGUUUGAAUUUAGUCAAAGGGCCAAAUUUGAGGACCUAGAGGGCCACAUGUGCCCUCAAGACUGUAGGUUUGCCACCCCUGGACUAGACCAAGAAAACACAGAGAAAACCAUUGUGCUUCAAGUGACACAUUUUCGAGGGCAUUAUGAGUUUGAUUUUUCAGAGUAUCCAAAGAAGGAAAAAUGUGGAACUAUUAUCACAGGUAUUACGACUGCCCCAAGGUGGCAGUCAAGGGAACAUCAAUCAGAUAACUACUUUAGCUCUCUGAAGAAUGAUCCACCCCCAUAUUGAAGAUUUCUUUGAUACAAAUAUGAGAAAGGAAGAGGAGUAAGGAGGCUUUUGCAAAAGAUCUUCUACAGCAAACCACAUCUUCAAAAUUAGACACCUGACUGGAAGGUGCAGAGAAUAGAGAUCUCACCAUGUUUAUUUGAUGCAGAAGAGUUAAAUGCAGCCAUAAAGGCUUUUGAAUAUCUCCUUUGCAUCACCUGUGAUUGUCCACAAUCCCUUCAUAGAUGCCACAAGAGAGAUGAUGGUGGUGGUUCUUCCCUGCCAAGGAGAAGUGUUGUGGAAUAGAAGAGGAGCCCUGAACUUGAAUUCACGGGACCAGAGUUCCAUUAUCUCUACCAAUUAUUACCUGUGUGACCCCUGACCAGUCACUUCCUUUGUCUGGACUUCAGUUUCCUCACCUGUAAAAUCAGAGGAUUGAACUAGACAACUUCUGAGCUUUAGUUUCUGUGAGGCAUAACUCAGGAAUAAGUGUGCCCACCAAAGAUACUACCUUUAGUACAUGAUUUUAUAGAGAUAAAGCAGGCAGAGUGGUUGAUGGUUACUACGGUCCAGUUGAUCAACUAUUUUUUGGCAGUAAUACCAAAUUGUUUUUCCAAUUGUUCAGUGUUUUCUCCUUUUUUCAAGUAUUUUGAGAAUUAAUCCCAUAUUUUGAAUUGUA